rnacentral:rRNA from 1 species
UACGUAGGGUGCAAGCGUUGUCCGGAUUUAUUGGGCGUAAAGAGCUCGUAGGCGGCUUGUUGCGUCGACCGUGAAAACCCGUGGCUUAACUGCGGGCUUGCGGUCGAUACGGGCGGGCUGGAGUUCGGUAGGGGAGACUGGAAUUCCUGGUGUAGCGGUGAAAUGCGCAGAUAUCAGGAGGAACACCGGUGGCGAAGGCGGGUCUCUGGGCCGAUACUGACGCUGAGGAGCGAAAGCGUGGGGAGCGAACAGG